rnacentral:rRNA from 1 species
GACGAACGCUGGCGGCGUGCCUAAUACGUGCAAGUCGAGCGGACGAAUCGAAAGCUUGCUUUUGAUUCGUUAGCGGCGGACGGGUGAGUAACACGUGGGCAACCUGCCCUGUAGACGGGGAUAACACCGAGAAAUCGGUGCGAAUAGCGGAUAACACGAAAUGUCGCAUGACGUUUCGUUGAAAGACGGCGCAAGCUGUCGCUACAGGAUGCGCCCGCGGCGCAUUAGCUAGUUGGUGAGGUAACGGCUCACCAAGGCAACGAGGCGUAGCCGAACUGAGAGGGUGAGCGACCACACUGGGACUGAGACACGGCCCAGACUCCUACGGGAGGCAGCAGUAGGGAAUCUUCCGCAAUGGACGAAAGUCUGACGGAGCAACGCCGCGUGAGCGAAGAAGGCCUUCGGGUCGUAAAGCUCUGUUGUUAGGGAAGAACAAGUAACGCAGUAACUGGCGUUACCGUGACGGUACCUAACGAGAAAGCCACGGCUAACUACGUGCCAGCCGCCGCCGUAA